rnacentral:rRNA from 1 species
UGGGGAAUUUUGGACAAUGGGCGAAAGCCUGAUCCAGCAAUGCCGCGUGUGUGAGGAAGGCCUUCGGGUUGUAAAGCACUUUUGUCCGGAAAGAAAUCCUUGGCUCUAAUACAGUCGGGGGAUGACGGUACCGGAAGAAUAAGCACCGGCUAACUACGUGCCAGCAGCCGCGGUAAUACGUAGGGUGCAAGCGUUAAUCGGAAUUACUGGGCGUAAAGCGUGCGCAGGCGGUUUGCUAAGACCGAUGUGAAAUCCCCGGGCUCAACCUGGGAACUGCAUUGGUGACUGGCAGGCUAGAGUAUGGCAGAGGGGGGUAGAAUUCCACGUGUAGCAGUGAAAUGCGUAGAGAUGUGGAGGAAUACCGAUGGCGAAGGCAGCCCCCUGGGCCAAUACUGACGCUCAUGCACGAAAGCGUGGGGAGCAAAACAGGAUUAGAUACCCUGGUAGUCCACGCCCUAAACGAUGUCAACUAGUUGUUGGGGAUUCAUUUCCUUAGUAACGUAGCUAACGCGUGAAGUUGACCGCCUGGGGAGUACGGUCGCAAGAUUAAAACUCAAAGGAAUUGACGGGGUCAUAGCUGUUUCCU